UAUUAGAAAAGGAAGUGGUAUUGAUCUGAAUGAUUCUAGUUUUGAUGUUUUGGGGUGGUGGAAAUUUCAUGGACCGAUGUAUCCAAUUGUAGCAGUGAUAGCUCGUGAUAUAUUAGCAAUUCCUGCGUCAUCGGUGGCUUCUGAAUCUGUUUUCAGCACCAGUGGUAGAGUUGUAGAUAAAUUUCGUUCUUCAAUGCUUCCAGAAACAAUUGAAGCUCUGAUAUGCACACAAGAUUGGAUAAGAAGUGCGCUGAAGAAUGAGGGAUAUGGGUUAGGUAGUACUUCACUUCAGACUCUUUUGGAGGCAAUGGAGGAGCUCGAGUCAGACGCUGAUGAUGCAACAUCGCACAUUGUCUAACUGACUGACUAUCAAUUUAAGGAACAAUUGGAAAUAUGAUGGUUGGAACUUCUUUUUGGUAUAUAUAUAUUAUAUAGGCAUAGCCAAAGAACAUGCGAAGUGCGCGAACUACAUCCUUCUUUUUUGUAUAUGUACUUGUGAAGGAAAAACACAUUUAUCUUUUGGGGCUUCUACAGUUUAUAGAAUGAUAUGUCUGUCAACUUUUGUGGUUAUAAUACGACAGGCUAUAUCCAUUAAGGCAGGUACUGAAUCUACUGAUGGAGCAGUUAUCGGCUAAAAACAUGUCUGCCAACUUUUGUAUUUAGUAUCUAUCAUAUAUAAUGGCAGAUUCUUACUUAUAGCUAGGAAAGUAACUUUGAUUUUCCUAAUCUAAGGAUUCUAAGCUCAAGUGUACUCUACUUUUGUAUGUAUGUUAAAGAUGGUCACUUGGGAAGUCA